rnacentral:lncRNA from 1 species
CGGAGGAGAAGCUGGCCGCCGCGGCCGCCAGCAGCGGAGGUAUCGUGGCACUGCUCGUGCGGGACUCGGUGGCGCUCUCGGCGCACCAACGGUGGGUGAUGAUGCUGGAGGCCGAGAACUCCGCGCUCAGGGCUGGAGGAGGAGCCGCCGGCGCGGAGCCCGAGGAGGAGGAUGGCGCGGGGCACCGGGUGGCCGCCGCAUGGUGGGUCGCGCUGGCGGUGUGCGUCGGCCUCGCCCUCGGCGACCUCCUGCUCUCAAAAGUGAAAACUCACCUCCUGCUGUGAAAACCAAAAUUAAUCAAUCAUCCUUGAUUUGAUUUUUGUAAAUCAAGCGCCCAUGUGUGUGUGAAAAUGUUCCUGCUAUCAUCGAUCGAUGCUUGGCAUGGGAACCCCGUGUUCUUGUUGAAAAACAGAUGAAAUCAAGAGGGUUGAUAGAUUGGAGCGGAAGCUGCCGUAUCCGUCUCUGCACGCGAUCAACAGAUUUGUGCCGAGUCGUAGGUUAGUUAGUGAGUAUGGUUGUUUAAUUUAGCCUGGUCGAUCUGGAUAACAUAUUAACAUCUGGUCCUGGCACAACGCUCCAUGAGUCAUGACUGCGACAUUUCAGUCGGUCGUCGGUUGGUUUUUGCACAUUUCAGCACAAUGGGUAAUGAGCCACUGCCCGUUGAACCCGAGAUGGCCGUCCGAUCAAACUCACUAGGGACCUCUUUUUGGAGCCAUUCAGAUUGUAUAAUUCAGUUUUUAUAAUUUAUUAUGUCUUCAAACAUGACAGAUUAUGGUAUAUACAUUGUAAAAGACUAGAUAAACAUAUCUCUUCCUAAUCUCUUCCUAAUAAUAAAGCAAAUUCGGUUUCUGGUCGUUCAUCUUGGAAAUUACCCCUAAAGCUUGCAUAAAUUACCCACCAUGCCACCGGUAAUUAAUAGAAAAUGUUUCACAAAGCGAAAAAUCUUGGACUAGGCCGGCCCAUGUAAAAACCUCCUAUAUUACGCUCUGCACGCUGGGAGAAUAUCCAGCACACCGUACGGGUCGGCCCAUGCAUAGGCGCCUGCUUUUAGUUCCGUUUUUUUAUUUAUUUCCAGUUCCGUUUUAUUUUCUUAUUUUAAAUUAUUUAGAACUUCAAAUAAUAUUUACUCCCUCCGUCCCAAAAUAAGUGUCUUAAGCUUAGUACAAAUUUGUACUAGAGCUAGUACAAAGUUGAGACAGUUAUUUUAGGACAGAGGGAGUACAAUUUUAAUGAACUGAAAAUUAUAUAUCAACAUAUUUAAAAAAUUAAAAUGUUUGUGUCUUUAAAAACUGCUCGUAGUUUUGUAAAAAAUGCUCGCAUAUACAAUAAAAUGUUUGCAAUUUUAGAAAAAUGUUUGUCAAUAAGAAAAGUCCAUGAUCUCUAAAACAAUUUCAUGUAUUAAAAAUUAUUAAAGGCAUUUAACAAAAUGCUUUCUAAUUCAAAAUAUGUUAAUGCAUUCAAAAAAUGUCCUAAAAUUUUAAAAAUAGCUAAUGCCUGUUUUGAUAGUUUCUUUUUUUAUUUAAAUUUUUCCGUUCCAUUUUUGUUUAUUUAUAAUUGAAAUAAUUUAGAAUUGCAAAAACUUUUUCAUAUUAAAAAUAGGAAUUUUGAAUUAAAAUGCUGACGAAUUUUUAUUUGGAAUUAAAUAUAGGAUUAAAAAACGCCGGAUUUUUAUAUUUUUUUGCAAAUUCCAAAACAAUGUCCAUGAAUUUAAUAAAUAUAUUACUGAUUUAUAAAAAUGUUUGUUUAUUCAAAAAAACUUCAUUCGUUUCAAAAAAUCUUUGUGAAUUUAAAAUAAAAUCCUCCAACAUAAAAAAUUAUGUUUGUCUUUUCUUGAAUUGGUCGCCAUUUCAAAAUAAAAUAUUUAAACCCAUUCGAAAUAUAAAAAAUAUUCACGAUUUUUAGUAAAUGUUUGUAAAUUGUAAAAAAUGUUCUCAAUUUUAAAAUUGUUCACGAAAGAUCCAAUGUAUGUAGUUAAACAUUAAUGCUUCUAAGUCUUUUUGACAAUAUAUCUGUGUGAAUUUUGAAGAAUUGACGGUUGGAUGGAUCGGAUUAUUAUUGUAUGUUUUCUAAAAAAAAUCUUGAAAUUCAGAAUAAAUCUUUGAGUUACCAAGAUUUUUGACAACCAUGACAUAUAUUUUUUGAAAAUGUAAAGAUUGCUUCAACUUGUGAAUAAAUUUAAAAGAAGAAACAUUUUUUUGAAUUUGUGCACAAAAUUUCUAAAUCAAGCGAUGAUAUGUGAAUAUAAUGUGGUCACCAUUAUUGGAGAUUAUGUUUUUUUUCUUCCGUGGCAACGCACGUGCCAUUUUGCUAGUGAAACUAAACGAUUUAAUUACCACUGCCGCCUAAAUACAGGAUAAUGGGCGUGGGCUCUUUUGGGCUUCAGUACAUAGCACAUCAAGAUAAUUAUGGCUGGGCCUAAGUUAAUUAUAUCUCCGGUCAGUGAGUACAGCACCACCGUAUCUACUCUCAAUCAAAUCGUAACGCUGCCCUGAAUCUCUUAGCACAGCCGUGGGGCGGGGGCAUCAAGCAGGCCGCUGGGACGCCCCUCAGGAAGAAAUAUAUAUAGGCCUUAUAAAAUUUGGGGUCCCAAAAAUCUAUGGGCCUGUGCGGGUCGCACACUCCGCACAGCUAUGAGCCCGGUCCUGUGUACAUAUAUAUACUGAUGCCUAUAGAAGAGGCAUAUACUCAGAGACCCUCCUCUCUUCCACUAAGUCUCACUCUCCUUGCAUCGCCUCUGCUGGACGGGCGGGGGGCGCCUCAAAUCCGCCGCAUCUAGACCCCGUCCUCCCUCCGCCGCUCCUCGCAGCCGCCGGACUGGGUAGCGGCGGGGCCAUCUAUCCUUCUACCGGAGGGGGGCGGCACCGGGUGCACUUCUCGGGUGGAGGCAUGGUGGCGCGUGCUACCGGUGGUGACGGUAGGGCGUGCGGGCGCGCAGACUACUACAUGGGGACAUAUCUGUUGGAAUUAUGCCCUAGAGGCAAUAAUAAAUAUAGUUAUUAUUAUAAUUCCUGUAUCAAGAUAAUCGUUUAUUAUCCAUGCUAUAAUUGUAUUGAAUGAAGACUCAUUUACAUGUGUGGAUACAUAGACAAAACACCAUCCCUAGCAAGCCUCUAGUUGGCUAGCCAGUUGAUCAAAGAUAGUCAGUGUCUUAUGAUUAUGAACAAGGUGUUGUUGCUUGAUAACUGGAUCACGUCAUUAGGAGAAUCACGUGAUGGACUAGACCCAAACUAAUAGACGUAGCAUGUUGAUCGUGUCAUUUUGUUGCUACUGUUUUCUGCGUGUCAAGUAUUUAUUCCUAUGACCAUGAGAUCAUAUAACUCACUGACACCGGAUGAAUGCUUUGUGUUUAUCAAACGUCGCAACGUAACUGGGUGACUAUAAAGAUGCUCUACAGGUAUCUCCGAAGGUGUUAGUUGAGUUAGUAUGGAUCAAGACUGGGAUUUGUCACUCCGUGUGACGGAGAGGUAUCUCGGGGCCCACUCGGUAAUACAACAUCACACACAAGCCUUGCAAGCAAUGUAACUUAGUGUAAGUUGCGGGAUCUUGUAUUACGGAACGAGUAAAGAGACUUGCCGGUAAACGAGAUUGAAAUAGGUAUGCGGAUACUGACGAUCGAAUCUCGGGCAAGUAACAUACCGAAGGACAAAGGGAAUAACAUACGGGAUUGUAUGAAUCCUUGGCACUGAGGUUCAAACGAUAAGAUCUUCGUAGAAUAUGUAGGAUCCAAUAUGGGCAUCCAGGUCCCGCUAUUGGAUAUUGACCGAGGAGUCUCUCGGGUCAUGUCUGCAUAGUUCUCGAACCCGCAGGGUCUGCACACUUAAGGUUCAACGUUGUUUUAUGCGUAUUUGAGUUAUGUGGUUGGUUACCGAAUGUUGUUCGGAGUCUCGGAUGAGAUCACGGACGUCACAAGGGUUUCCGGAAUGGUCCGGAAACGAAGAUUGAUAUAUAGGAUGACCUCAUUUGAUUACCGGAAGGUUUUCGGAGUUACCGGAAAUGUACCGGGAAUGACGAAUGGGUUCCGGGAGUUCACCGGGGGGGGGGGGGCAACCCACCCCGGGGAAGCCCAUAGGCCUUGAGGGUGGCACACCAGCCCUUAGUGGGCUGGUGGGACAGCCCAAAAGGCUCUAUGCGCCAAGGAGAAGAAAAUCAAGAGAGAAAAAAAAGGAGGAGGUGGGAAGGAAGGGGGACUCCCUCCCACCAAACCAAGUCCAACUCGGUUUGGGGGGGGGGGAGAGUCCUCCCCCUUGGACUCGGCCGACCCCUGAGCCCCAAGGCAAGGNNNNNNNNNNNNNNNNNNNNNNNNNNNNNNNNNNNNNNNNNNNNNNNNNNNNNNNNNNNNNNNNNNNNNNNNNNNNNNNNNNNNNNNNNNNNNNNNNNNNCGGAAUGGUCCGGAAACGAAGAUUGAUAUAUAGGAUGACCUCAUUUGGUUACCAGAAGGUUUUCGUGCAUUACCGGAAAGGUUUCGGGCUCAUCGGUAGUGUACCGGGAGUGCCGGAAGGGUGCCGGGGACCAUCGGGAGGGGUGUCACGCCCCAAGGGGUCUCAUGGGCUAUGGGAAGAGAUAAACCAGCCCCUAGUGGGCUGGAAUAAGUUCCCACUAAGGCCCAUAAGGUUUGAGAAGGAAAAAACACAAGGUGGAAAGAGUUUCCAUGUGGGAAGGUGGAAUCCUACUCCAAGUAGGAUUGGAGUAGGACUCCUCCACCUCCAAUUUCGGCCAAACCUUGAGGGUUUGAGGCUGCCUCCUCCCCUCCCUCCCCCAAGUAGGAUUGGAGUAGGACUCCUCCACCUCCAAUUUCGGCCAAACCUUUAGGUUUUGAGGCUGCCUCCUCCCCUCCCUCCCACCUAUAUAUACGGAGGUUUUAGGGCUGAUUUGAGACGACUUUCUCACGGCUGCCCGACCACAUACCUCCAUAGUUUUUCCUCUAGAUCGCGUUUCUGCGGAGCUCGGGCGGAGCCCUGCUGAGACAAGAUCAUCACCAACCUCCGGAGCGCCGUCACGCUGCCGGAGAACUCAUCUACCUCUCCGUCUCUCUUGCUGGAUCAAGAAGGCCGAGAUCAUCGUCGAGUUGUACGUGUGCUGAACGCGGAGGUGCCGUCCGUUCGGUACUAGAUCGUGGGACUGAUCGCGGGAUUGUUCGCGGGGCGGAUCGAGGGACGUGAGGACGUUCCACUACAUCAACCGCGUUCACUAACGCUUCUGCUGUACGAUCUACAAGGGUACGUAGAUCACUCAUCCCCUCUCGUAGAUGGACAUCACCAUGAUAGGUCUUCGUGCGCGUAGGAAAUUUUUUGUUUCCCUUGCGACGUUCCCCAACAGGAAUACCCGGAGCAACCUGAAGAUUUCAUUGCUAAAGAACACGCGAAGACUUUCGGCGGUUGGUUGCAAAGACGUCUCAUUAAUGACAACAUUGUUGAAGAUGAGCUAUACUUGUUGGCCAAGCAACCAUCUUCGACUGUAUUGACCUUUAAAGGGUACGAGAUAAAUGGUAACACAUUUUACACGGCAGACCAAGAUAAAAAGAGCACCAACCAAAACAGUGGCGUCCGGUUUGAUGCAAAAGACGACAACGGGCAAAGAGUCACAUACUAUGGUUACAUAGAGCAUAUAUGGGAACUUGACUACGGACCUUCCUUUAAGGUCCCUUUGUUCUAGUGCAAAUGGUUCAACCUGUCAGGCGUGAAGGUAGACCCGAAGUACGGAAUGACAACAGUGGAUCAUAAGAAUCUUGGGUACGGCAAUGAUCAAUUCGUCCUAGCCAAUGAUGUGGCUCAGGUUUUCUAUGUGAAGGACAUGUCUAGCAGACCGAGAAAAAGGAAAGAUAAGGAAGCGAAUACAUCAGACGAUGAGCCAAGGCGCCACAUAGUUCUUUCAGGGAAAAGAAACAUCGUGGGAGUCGAGGACAAGACAGACAUGUCAGAAGAUUACAAUAAGUUUGAUGAAAUUCCUCCCUUCAAAGUCAAAGAUGAUCCAAGCAUCCCGUUAAAUGAUGAAGAUAGUCCAUGGUUACGGCGCAAUCAGAAGAAAGGCAAGAAGAAAAAUAGAUAGGGGGUGUUGUUGGUGAUGUGUAAUAAUGUAUUAAACCUUUUAUGUAAUUGUGUUGACCAUUUUGAUAAAUAUUAAAAAUUUGACCAGUUUCCACUAAAUUUGAUCAUUUUGAUAAAUAUCAUUUUUUAUUUUUUAAGUGUAAAAAUGAAAUUUUGACAAUUUGUAAAUAAAUGUAAAAAAAAUAGAAAAGGAAAACAAAAAAAUAAAAUAAAAGAAGAAACAGAAAAAAGAAAAAGGAAACAAAAAGAAAAAGAAAACAGGAAACAGAAAAAAGAAAAAAAGAAAAAUAAAAGAAGAAACAGGAAAAAGAAAAAGGAAACAAAAAUAAAAAGAAAACAGGAAACAGAAAAAGGAAAAAAGAAAAAUAAAAGAAGAAACGGGAAAAAGAAAAAGGAAACAAAAAGAAAAAAAAACGGGAAACAGAAAAAAGAAAAAAAGAAAAAGGAAAAAAACCUUUAGUACCAGUCUGUAACAACAACCGGUCCUAAAGGUGACCUUUAGGACCGGUUUGUAACAACAACCGGUCCUAANNNNNNNNNNNNNNNNNNNNNNNNNNNNNNNNNNNNNNNNNNNNNNNNNNNNNNNNNNNNNNNNNNNNNNNNNNNNNNNNNNNNNNNNNNNNNNNNNNNNCUAGCUCCCUUCUGCCUCGACCCCGUCAGGGGAGCGCCAGCCGUCGACGACCUGCGCCCGACCCCGCCAAGGCCUCGUCCCCGACCUACCAGAGUCUGCCUCUGCUUCACCUCGCCGCGUCGUAGCCUCUGGGAGUGGAUAAGAGGAAGGGGAUGAUCGGAUAGGGGGUGUUUUUUGCAAAAG